rnacentral:rRNA from 1 species
GACAAACGCUGGCGGCGUGCCUAAUACAUGCAAGUAGAACGCACAGUUUAUACCGUAGCUUGCUACACCAUAGACUGUGAGUUGCGAACGGGUGAGUAACGCGUAGGUAACCUGCCUGGUAGCGGGGGAUAACUAUUGGAAACGAUAGCUAAUACCGCAUAAUAUUAAUUAUUGCAUGAUAAUUAAUUGAAAGGUGCAAUUGCACCACUACCAGAUGGACCUGCGUUGUAUUAGCUAGUAGGUGAGGUAACGGCUCACCUAGGCGACGAUACAUAGCCGACCGGAGAGGGUGAUCGGCCACACUGGGACUGAGACACGGCCCAGACUCCUACGGGAGGCAGCAGUAGGGAAUCUUCGGCAAUGGACGAAAGUCUGACCGAGCAACGCCGCGUGAGUGAAGAAGGUUUUCGGAUCGUAAAGCUCUGUUGUAAGAGAAGAACGGGUGUGAGAGUGGAAAGUUCACACUGUGACGGUAUCUUACCAGAAAGGGGCGGCUAACUACGUG